rnacentral:SRP_RNA from 1 species
CCGUGCUAGGUGGGGAGCUAGCGGUGCCCUGUACCCGCAAUCCGCUUUAGCGGGACGGAAUCCCCGCCCGAGGAGCAGGCCUGUGGGGUCUGACGCCGGCAAGCGGUGUUGACGGCCAGGUCCUGCGCAAUGGAAAUCCGUGAACCGGGUCAGGACCGGGAGGUAGCAGCCCUAAGCGGACACUUCCAUGUGCCGCAGGGCGGCUUGGCCUGAGCUGGCUACCGGCGGGCGCCCGGAGGUCUGACUUCGAAGGCGGGUGCACGG